GGUGAGAUGGCCGAGCGGUCUAAGGCGCCAGACUAAGGACCAAGACAUCCGAUGUCUACCUGUUACUACCUGUUAUCUGGUCUCUUCGGGGGCGUGGGUUCGAAUCCCAUUCUCAUCA